rnacentral:rRNA from 1 species
UGGCACAAGUAACCACAAUGCGGGUGAGAAACCCGCACGCCGAAAGAACAAGGUUUCCCUCUCAACGUUUGUCGGAGAGGGGUUAGUCGGGCCUAAGGAAAUGGCGAGAGCCGCAUCCGAUGGACACACGGUUAAUAUUCCGUGACUGCAUUUCGAAGUGAUGGGAGGACGGGGGUAAGUAUGUGUCGCGCAUUAUUGGAUUUGACGUCCGUGCUUUGAGGAAGGUUUCUAGGAAAAUCCGGAAACCAAUAUUCCAAGAAGAGCGGAAAGGUUCGGGUUCGCCCGGGCCAAUGACGCAAAGCUACUCUCCUAGAAAAUUCUCUAAACUUAUUCGAGAUGCAACCGUACCGCAAACUGAAACAAGUGUUCUCGUCGAGAAGACGUAGGCGAACGAGUGAGAGGUUCCCAAGGAACUCGGCAAAAAAGCAGCCGUAACCUCGGAAUAAGGCUUCCCAGCACCACUUUUUGGUUUUAAGAUGUAGAUAUGUACAGCGUAUACACAUUACAACACUCAAUUACCAAAGAGUUAUAUUUUGGAAAAACAAAUAAUUUGAAGCGACGAUUAGAAGAACAUAAUAGUGGUAACCAGACUGCUACACAUAGACAGAGUGGCGAUUGGGUACCAGUUUACGUUGAAAUCUAUCGCUCGAAAGUAGAUGCAGACAGGAGAGAAGACAGAUUGAAACAGCAUGGUAGAGCAAAGCAAGAAUUAGUAAAAAGAAUUCAAUCGUCGCUUCUAAAUUAAAACCAAAAAGUGGUGCUGGGCGCAGCUAAAGUUUCUCUGGCAACUGUUUACCAAAAACACAGCUCCCUGCGAACUCGCAAGAGGAUGUAUAGGGGGUGACACCUGACCAAUGCCAGAAGGUUAAACAUGGGUGGUCUUAUUAUCUUCGGAUAACAAGGCUCGGUUAUGUAAGCCCUGGUGAAUGUCGGCCGUAACUAUAACGGUCCUAAGGUUCUGGAACUUUGUAAAGCAAGGUUUCAGAAGGACUGGGACUGUUUAGAUACGGAAUAAACAGUUGAAUGUAAAUGCACAAUUCGUGCAAAGCUAUCUCUUCUUACAGUGAUGUAAGAAUGGUCCUAAAAAACACAUGGCUAUAUGCUGGGAAGUCCUGAGUUAAAUCGAAGGACGAUCAGCAGGGAAGAUAAGAUUAUCCAAUAGUGGAAAUAAGAAAUCAGGAGAGGCGCGGGAAUGUCAGACGGUCCUAUUAAGUAACUCCGCGAUCCUUACGAGGAACUCAGCUCUCUAGACACUGGAAAAAUUCCAGAUGGGAGAAGGCUCAAAGCGUUUAGCUGAGCAAUUGAGCUUCGAAAGCCUCUCUGAUGGGUGGGAAGUAUUUCCCUCCUGGUUGAGAAGUUGUGGUUAUAUGUACUGUCUAGGACUAGGGCAGAGACCACAGCUUCUCAAUCGAACUGUUCUUUAAUAUAAGACGAUUUAAUCAAAUCGUCUCCACUAUUGGGUAAUCUUAUCCCCUCAGAUACCACACGCUGUGCUUCCAAGUUUUUGGAAGAAGAUAUGGUACCGUUUUAAGGAAUAACGCAGCGAAAUUCCUUGUCUGGUAAGUUCAGACGCGCACGAAUGGUGUAAUGACUGGAGAACUGUCUCGGGAACUUGCUCGGUGAAAAUACAAUACCGGUGAAGAUGCCGGUUUCCUGCAGUUAGACGAAAAGACCCCAGGAGCUUUACUGCAACUUGAUAUUGAGCUUACGGUUACGAUGCGUAGCAUAGAUGGGAGACUUUGAUGGCGCGUUCUCGGAUGCGCCGGAGUCGUCAGUGAAAUACCAUUCUUCUAGAUUGUAAGUUCUAACCUCGACGGAAAAAACGGCGAGAAACAGUAUCUGGCGGGCAGUUUGAGUGGGGCGCUCUCCUU